CUGGCACCCUGCAUGUCAAGCUGUGCUGCCCGUAAUCCUGCCUAAUUGAGGGGGACCAGGUCAUUUCCCUGCUUUUGCUCCAGCUCUGGUGGGCGGAAUGAAUCCGCUUUAUUCAGCUGUCCUAUAACCUGUCCCCCCAGGUCCCUGAAAUCUAUGGAAGGAGAUUUUACUGGUGUGUCCACCUCCUCCUGGCCAGGCCACAGCUUUCUCAGCAGGGAAGGAAUCCUCCAAAAGUCACUGGAAACCUUGCUUCUGUCCGGGCCCCUCUCACUUCUUCUCCUGGUCCUGCCUCAGACCUGACGCUCCAUCUAGGACUUCUCUGGAGCUGCAGCCUGAAUUCAAGGCCGAGAACCUGACUGGUCCACGGACC
rnacentral:lncRNA from 1 species